rnacentral:rRNA from 1 species
GACGAACGCUGGCGGCGUGCUUAACACAUGCAAGUCGAACGGAAAGGCCCUGCUUUUGUGGGGUGCUCGAGUGGCGAACGGGUGAGUAACACGUGAGUAACCUGCCCUUGACUUUGGGAUAACUUCAGGAAACUGGGGCUAAUACCGGAUAGGAGCUCCUGCUGCAUGGUGGGGGUUGGAAAGUUUCGGCGGUUGGGGAUGGACUCGCGGCUUAUCAGCUUGUUGGUGGGGUAGUGGCUUACCAAGGCUUUGACGGGUAGCCGGCCUGAGAGGGUGACCGGCCACAUUGGGACUGAGAUACGGCCCAGACUCCUCCGGGAGGCAGCAGUGGGGAAUAUUGCACACUGGGCGGAAGCCUGAUGCAGCAACGCCGCGUGCGGGAUGACGGCCUUCGGGUUGUAAACCGCUUUCGCCUGUGACGAAGCGUGAGUGACGGUAAUGGGUAAAGAAGCACCGGCUAACUACGUG